rnacentral:rRNA from 1 species
AACGAACGCUGGCGGCAGGCUUAACACAUGCAAGUCGAGCGCCCCGCAAGGGGAGCGGCAGACGGGUGAGUAACACGUGGGAACCUUCCUCGUUGUACGGAACAACUCAGGGCAACUUGAGCUAAUACCGUAUACGUCCGAGAGGAGAAAGAUUUAUCGCAAUGAGACGGGCCCGCGUCGGAUUAGCUAGUUGGUGGGGUAACGCCCUACCAAGGCGACGAUCCGUAGCUGAUCUGAGAGGAUGAUCAGCCAGACUGGGACUGAGACACGGCCCAGCCGCCUACGGGAGGCAGCGGUGGGGAAUCUUGAACAAUGGGCGCAAGCCUGAUCCGGCCAUGCCGCGUGGGUGAAGAAGGCCUUCGGGUUGUAAAGCUCUUUUGUCAGGGACGAUAAUGACGGUACCUGAAGAAUAAGCCCCGGCAAACUUCGUGCCAGCAGCCGCCGUAA